rnacentral:lncRNA from 1 species
AUGUUCUGCAACAAGUUAGGUGUGAAGGAAUUCUCUGAGUGACUUUACAGCAGUGGUUGUCAAUGUGUGCUGCUCACUGGGGUCUCUGGGGAGCUCUUAAAGUGCACUUCAGCCACACUCAGGCACUCUGCUCAGAGCCCCUGGGCAGGGAGGAGCCAGGAUCAGGGUUUUUCACCAGCCCAGGUGAUUCCAGUGUGCGUGCAGCUGAGACUGUCUCUGGGUCCAUGUCCUACUUGGCUGUGCGCUCCUGAGGGUGGAAAUGCUUCCUUCACGUCUGUGCAUCCCUUUCAGUACAGUGCCGAGGCAUGGUAGUCCACAAGAAAGGUUGUUUGUAUGAACAAAGGAAUAAACGGAUUAUCAUGCUUUUACCCACUUUUCAGUGAGGAAAUUGAGGGCUAAGAAGGUGAGAAAUCGGCGUGGGGAUAUAGGACUCAAAACAUCUGUGUGGAGACCCGAACCCAGGUUCAUCUAAUCUAAAAUUUGUGUUUGAUUCAAGUCGCUUUAAAAUUAUUGAGUAUUUACUACCGUAUCACUGAGUUACACAGAUUGUUUUAUCAUCACAUCCUUAUGACAUAGAUACUCAUUUCUCCAUUUUACCGAUGAGAAAAGUGAGGUUUCAAGAGUUGAGGACUUGCAGGGCCUUCACAGAGUGACCCCGGCAGCUGGAAGCUGACCGAACCGUGACCGUGCGUUGCCGCCGCCGGAGGCAGCCGAGGGCUUCCGCGGGGCGCGGUGGAGAGGACGCAGCGGAGGGCGCUGCCCAGCCCUGCGAUACGGGAGAGAUUCGGAGAGCAGAAGGCAUCUGGCAUCUCCGGAGACGGGACAGCGACAGGGCAGUUCCAGAAGUUUAUGAGAUAGCAGCAAGAACAAGUUUUCAAAACAACUUGACCAGAGUCACCAGCCUGUCGUCAACAGCUCCACAUUGCAACUCAAGUUUGAACCUUGAAGACGUGAACAGGCCCUUGCUUGCCGUUAUCCAGAGCCUUCUUCUUGGAUCACAGCCAAAAACUAGGGUGUUAGGUGGACACAGAUUGUGAUGGUCCUGGAUGGGAUUCAGAAUUAAAUGAAAGGCUUAGAAAGUUAAUGUAGCAGGUGAUAUUUUCUAAAUGACUGCAACAAUGUGCUCAUCUCACACGCUCUCCCAGUGUGACUUUAGCACUCCUUUCAAGGAAAGCUGGGGUUUAAGUCCUUUCCCCUUGAAUUUGGGUGGGGACUUGUGAUUGCCCCAACUAAGAGAGUAUGGUAGAAGUGAUGGUAGGUUAUGAAUAUAACUUCUGCCUGGCUUGCGGUUUUGGGACAUUGCUCUGGAGAAACCCAGACUAGCUCCUACAGAGAGAUGGCAUGAAGAGGAGCUGAGGCCUCUAGCCUCCAGCCGGAACCUUCACCAGACAUAAAUAAACACGGCUUCAUAUGAUUCCAGUCCCCAGCGAGGCCCCAGGCGUGUGGAGUCAUCUCUGCUGUGCUCUGUCCAAAUUCUAUGAGCAUAAUAAAAGGUUAUUU